UCUUCCAUCAGAGAUCCUUUAGUUUCUUCCAGGUAUUCUUCUGCUUCAGCUGUUCAAGUUGCCCGGAUCACCUAUUAAUAGGCAGCUCCCCCACUCUGAUCUGCUGAAGCAACAGACGAAAAAGGGAAAAAGAGAAAUAGUGCUGCAUGUACAAAGCAGCGCAGCCAUGAGAACAGGCAGUGUCUCCUUCCCAGGUUCCGCAGCUCCGUGUGUCUCUCCCUGUGUUUCCAUCCUGUCGAACGCUCGGAGCCUGCCCUGCACACAUUUCAGAAGCGAAGGGCUUUCCUAAUUACAGUGCGAACAAUCCGAGGCACGCACUUUUGGUGUGUUUUGCAUCAGAUCCACCCAAAUUCAAACGAGCAGGGAAAGUUAUUCUUCUGGACACCAACUUUUCUCUGUGACUGUUUGCUCACAGGCACAGUGGGGGUUUCCCUCUCCUGUUUCCAUGUUCUCUGGGGAUGCUGACCGAGGAUGGGGAUGUGAUGUUCCCCGUUGUGAGGGGACAGCGGUGGCCUUGGACCUGCAGCCACCAGCCCAGCACCCAGCAGGGAAUGUGGCGUAGCGGAUCGCCCUCCGCCUCCUCCUCCUUUAUAG
ensembl:lncRNA